AAGCUAUUGAAAGAUUCAAAAGAGGACAGGAACGUGAUCAGAUUUACAUUUCAGCAAGAUCCUUUGGCUGCUGUGGGGAAAAAGAAUUGGCAACCGCUGCAAUAAUCUGCAGGGUUUGGAUUUUAAAGACCUGAACUGAGGCCACAGCCAAGAGCCUGGCCAGUGAGGUCAGAACUUGGGAAACUCUUAAGCAGGAAGACUCCAUGCGCCUGUACUGCCUGCUUGAUUAUGCAAGGGAAGCAAAGCUGAAUGUAUGUCAACAAGAGCCCCUUCUGCCUGAGCAAGCACAACUGUGCCCUGGCAACUGCGAUGACAACAUAGAUCCGGAAGCUGGGGCAGUUUAUGGGGUGGGGUUGUUAGGAAAGAGGACUAACUGUCAGCAGAAGCAAAGGGGAAGCCGAACCAGCCUAUUCUUCCUUUGUAUCAAAGACACAAUGUGGGGCUACACAGCCAAACCAUGCUCCCUGCACAAAUGUCAGCAAGGAAAUAAAGGGAAGAGGAGACGGGCGAGCUGGUUCUCCUCUAGGAAACAGAAGCCUUGCCUCAGCCAAGAAAAGAUAGGGCAUAAAACUUCAAAGUCCUAGAAAUCUGUUUAUUUCCUUUUUACACUCCAUACAAUAUAACUAGCAGAGACAGUGUCCUAUUGCUCUGUGUACCAGUGGUAUACAGGAGGUGCUCAGUGACUGUUAGCUGGACAAACUCUCAGAAAGAGUAAAGGGGUAUGGGUGGGGGUGAGGGGGGUGCCUAACACUGGAAGCCAGCUCUGCCUUCUCCACAAGCAGGAAAUACUGAGCAGAGCAGCAGGCUCUACCAGAUAGGAGGAGAAA
rnacentral:lncRNA from 1 species